AAACUUCAAGAAAGGAUGCACUAGAUUUAAUUGAAAAUGUUAAGAUUGCCCAAAAAAGGAUUACUUAGAGUUGAUCAAGCUCAAGAUGAACAAACCUACCUUGAAAAUUUAGCAGUACAGAGAAAUGCUUCUGCUUUUUUUGAAAAUUAUGAUCAGAGUGGGAUACAAGAGUUAUUAACUACGGCACUAGCCAGGUGGUUGUCUACAAAAGAGGAUGGGUGCUCUCAACUGGAGUUCCCAAGUGGAAUUAUGAGUCAAAUGAACAAUGUCGGUUUCUCCACUGCGAUCCUACUGAUGCCGGUGGACCCUACUGCCCUCUUAGACUACAGAGAAAUCCACCAGAUCAUAAGGGAGUUGGCUGUUGGAAUUUAUUGCUUAAAUCAAAUUCCUUCCAUCAGUUUAGAAGCUAAUUAUGAUCAGAGUUCUUCUUGUCAAUUACCUCCAGCUUAUUUUGAUACCAGAAUUGGGCAGAUUCUGAUCCAUAUUGACUACAUGUUGAAAGCACUGUGGCAUGGAACAUACAUGCCCAAAGAGAAACAAACCAGGUUCUCCCAAAUGUGGUGUACCAUCUUGGACAUUGAUCCAGAUGGGAAGCCUCAAACAAUUAAAGAGAUUUUUGCAGCGUUUAGUUCAGUAGAUGACAAGGUCAAGACAGAGCGAGAACUGCCUCCGUUUAUUUAUGGACGAGAUUUUAAAUGCCAGAACUUUCACUACAAAGAGAAUCAAUAUUUUCAUGUUCAUGGAGGAAUUGAAUUUGACAUCACCACCCCUUCAAUUGAGAAUGCUUUGGAUGAUUUUAAGAACAAUUUAGAAAAAUUACGGGAUUAUGCUGCCAAUACAUUUGCAGAAGAUUUUGGAUACAAAGAAUAUUACUCAAUACCAGUCAUGGAAUUUCAUGGGAAAAGGGAUGGAAGAGGUUAA
rnacentral:lncRNA from 1 species